UGGAUUUCAUCUUUUAAUAUUGUCAAGGUGGAACCCUGUUUGUCGUAAUAACUGCAAUCACUGCCCAAAGAAUGAUUAGUUCUAGAAUGUUUCACUGAAUCACAACAAGUAAGGCCAAAGGAACUUUAGUUAAACUACUCUUGGCUCCUACUAUCUUUUUCCAAAGAUCUGUUUAUAAGACUUCCUAGAAAUGGAAGAGCAGCACACACACCAUUUCACACACACACCCCUCCAACUAGGAAGGGAGGGCUUUUGGUCCAGAGCAGCGCCUGUACACAGUAAGAUAUCAUGUUCCCAUUUACGUCAUACUGUAUCCCUAUAAAGGCUGAAAGUUACCCCAUAUUGUUGGGAUUGUUGGGACUUCUGUGAAAUGAAGAUGAUUGUAAGUCCAGAAUAAACGAAUCCCCCUGCUGGUCGCUGAAGAGAAGCUGUGGUGUCUGGUCUCGUCUGUCUGUUUUUAAGGUUAAAUCCUCUCCCACAUAAUUGGCGUUGUCGGCAGGAUAGAACAAGGGAGAGGAAAAAAGGCUUUCCACAGCAUCUACCUCCAGUGGCAAAACGGGGCCCAUUGAGAAACAGAAAAGAGGAGGUAAGUUAAGCAUACCUCUCUCUCUCUUUAUUUUUCCUUUUUUUUAACAUAAGAUUUGCCACACAGAGGUUCUGCUUUGGAAAAAGUGUAUUGAUUUUAAAGGCGAGACAAGUGAGGCAUUGCUGCUUCUUUUUGUGACCACCAGUUGUAAUUUUCCGCGGAAAAUGGAUUGUCACAAAAUACAAAAGAUGAGGAACGCGUGGAUUCCAACACAAUUGAUUAACCGACAAUCUUAAGGAAGUGAUUUGUGUACUCCCAGCCGCUUUUAUCGGAUGUCCCGUCAAAUAUGACGUUAGAAGCGACGGCGUAUAAGAAAUGAAUCGGACCAGUACGGGUCUUUGCUGAAGUUUUUCUAAUAUACAUAACUUUUUAGAAUCAAAAAAUCAUCGUGAGAGGGUGAUUUUAGAAACAUGGGCUGGUCGGAGUCUUUAGAGGUGAAGCCUCUGAGUAAGCGUGGCCGUUCUCUCUAGCUCGUACCCGUUUGUACGUGCGAGUAUUGGAAAGAUCGGGCCAUUAGUGAACUGCAGUUGUUUUGUGAAGCUGAGAUCUCCGGUUUAGGCUUUGAGGUGAGAAAAACCUCCUAUCAAAUUUGACGUAGAAAUGCAUGCAGAUUUUGUUGGGCGAGUAGUUGUAAGCGCUUGGAGAAAGAGAAAUGAGGUUUCUCUUGGAUCAUCUGUGUGGCCUUAACUGCAGUCUGGUUUUGAGUACUCUGGUUUAGGUAACGAGGUGAAAACCUCCUAUUAAAUUUGACAUAGAAGGCCUGUUCUGAAGCACGUGCAGUAUGAACUUUUUUUUUUACUCUUGUUUUUAUCCUUGUAUUAUGGGUCCAUUCAAAUUACAAGCCAAAAUUCACUGUGCGCACACAUAUAAAAUAAGAGAAUUGGACAUCUGGACCAUCAGGAAAGUCACUAGUUUCCCAAGGAAGUGAGUCCUGUUUUUCAGAAAUUGAGAUUCUGUCCGUUUCUGGCCACCCUUUUUUCUGAUGGAAGACACAUCAAAAAGACGAGAAGAACAGCUAUAUCUUUCAGGAGCAGACGGAGAGCAGAUUUGCACAGGAGAAUGGCUGAAUCUGGGUACUGGCGGAGUAAGCCUGUGAACAUAUCCUUUCUAAAUUGUGAAUUUUGAUGAAUGAUUUUGUGACAAAUGAGGACAUUGUUAAACCUCUUUUGAUAAAUAUGUGUAAAGUCACUAUUUGCCGUUGAUGUGGACUUUAAGUUCUAAAUGUGCUCAUGUAUUUUAUUUUUUCUACUGUUCCUAUGUCCUGGAGUGGAGCAUGGUUCAUGGAGGAUGAGAUGAAUUGUCACCGAAGCGGACUUUCAUGUAUGGGCUGAUAAUAUAAUGAGAAAAGGUGAUGUUAUUAUAAAACAAUUCAAACAAUUUUUCAGUAAGAACAUUGCUUUAACUGCUGCAGGUUGCAUGUUCUGCUGUGGCUGAACAUUCUACAUUAUUUUCAACCAUUCUGUUCUCUAUGUUCUUAAUAUUUUGUUUUUAAAUGAGUUGGCAUAGCUGUUGUUUUUGUUUUGAUUUCCUACGUUUUCAGGUGAGCGAUCUUGGAAGGUAUUUAAGUUUGGAAGUUCAAGUCAAAUACACACAAAAAAUCAGAUGGACACUAAACAUCAAUGUUUAAGAAAAUGUACAUUAGCCCCAUUGACAUUUUAAGGAUAUCAUCAUAAGACUAGUGAAGACUCUGAGCUGGGAAAUCAUUGUAAUAUACGAUACUGGUUAGUUUUUCCUGUCUCCUUAGGGCGACCCAGGGACGUAGAAGGGCGGGGUCCCUCUUUGUGUGCUGGACUAAGGGACUCAGAGGCAUGAUGUUUGCAACAGAGGGGGCCCUGCACCAGGACUGUGAGAAAGCAGUACAAUUUAAUCAAAGGAUCCUGGAGAGCGACAUACCGUGUCAGCGACAUGAGGACAAGAACUUUGCCACACUACGAAGCUGCCAAUCCCAUCAAAUGUUACAAAUUCUGAUUUUAUCUAUGCUAUGCUAAAUCCCUGAAGUUUAUGAUAAGGUGUAGGAUGGGCAUAUUUUUAGGUAGAUGUUUUUGGGUGGUUACCGUAGGAACUGAAUGAUGAUAUUAUACUAUUCUAAUUUUGUUUUAAUUUUGCUUAAUAUGUUUGUCUUCUUUCCUGUUAUUUUAUGUUUUUUGACGACAUUGUGAGUACCAUGGCUGGGUUUCUGAGCCAUGCUGGUCGGUCAGGUGGUCGGCUGGCGGACGCCCGUGGGGGAGGGGUCCAUGCAACAGUUUUUACCCUGAAUAAACACAUAAAUACCAGCGACAGGGAUUUUUCGGUUGCAUAUGGUCAGAAAUAACUGGCAUAUGGGAAAACAAUGUACAUUUUGUACAUCCGUAUAUAGUUCAGUGCAUGUUUUUAUUUUAUUCUACAUUUACGACUAUACAUUACCAAUUUUUUGUUCUUUUUUCUGUUUGAUAAUCAAAGCAAGUAUUUUUACCCUUUUAUAUUCCUCUAUUACUCCACAAUUACAUUAUUCCACUUUUCUUAUAGUUCCCAGUGUGAUUUUCCCUUGAUAUGGCUCACGUAAAUGAGCCAAAGGGGGGAUGUAUGGUGGAUUUCAUCUUUUAAUAUUGUCAAGGUGGAACCCUGUUUGUCGUAAUAACUGCAAUCACUGCCCAAAGAAUGAUUAGUUCUAGAAUGUUUCACUGAAUCACAACAAGUAAGGCCAAAGGAACUUUAGUUAAACUACUCUUGGCUCCUACUAUCUUUUUCCAAAGAUCUGUUUAUAAGACUUCCUAGAAAUGGAAGAGCAGCACACACACCAUUUCACACACACACCCCUCCAACUAGGAAGGGAGGGCUUUUGGUCCAGAGCAGCGCCUGUACACAGUAAGAUAUCAUGUUCCCAUUUACGUCAUACUGUAUCCCUAUAAAGGCUGAAAGUUACCCCAUAUUGUUGGGAUUGUUGGGACUUCUGUGAAAUGAAGAUGAUUGUAAGUCCAGAAUAAACGAAUCCCCCUGCUGGUCGCUGAAGAGAA